GCAGAUAAAAUCGAAAGUAAAUUCUUCUUGAAACAUCGGAGCAAAUGACAAAAGGGAAGAUACAAUAGUUACGUCUAAGUGGAGAUUGGAGGAGAGGGUCUAAGCCUCUAAAAUUUGUCUCUCUGAGAUGAGUACUUCCUCUAAAAGUAGUUUGUCUUCAAAGAUGAAGAAGAGCCCAAUUCAGCGGAAGAGACCAGCCUCCCCUGGACCCAGCUGUGUGUCUAUGAAGAGUGACAAUUCUAUGGAUCUUCCUUUAAACCUCAGAGAGGGAGACUUUUCUACUGA